AAUGGGGGCGAUGCUGGAGUUGUUCCACCUGAUCCCAUUCCGAACUCAGAAGUGAAAUACUCUGAGGCCGAUGAUAGUAUCGUCUUUACGAUGCGAAAGUAGGUCGCCCCCUUGA
rnacentral:rRNA from 1 species